rnacentral:rRNA from 1 species
UACGAAGGAUGCGAGCGUUAUCCGGAUUUAUUGGGUUUAAAGGGUGCGUAGGCGGAGCGUUAAGUCAGCGGUGAAAUGUCCCGGCUCAACCGGGGAGCUGCCGUUGAUACUGUCGCACUAGGGUCCGAACGGCGCCGGCGGAAUAUGUAAUGUAGCGGUGAAAUGCAUAGAUAUUACAUAGAACACCGAUCGCGAAGGCAGCUGGCGAGGACGGCACCGACGCUGAGGCACGAAGGCGUGGGGAUCGAAC